GCCACCUCACGGUCAUCUGUCCCCAGACUUCGGGCCUCGGGUCACAAACUGUCCCUUAAUAAGCACACUCCCGUGUGACAGGGAGCUAGUCUGCUCUGGCAGG